rnacentral:rRNA from 1 species
UACGUAGGAGACGAGCGUUGUCCGGAGUUACUGGGCGUAAAGAGCUCGUAGGUGGCCUGUCGCGUCGGCUGUGAAAACUCGGGGCUCAACUCCGAGCUUGCAGUCGAUACGGGCAGGCUAGAGUUCGGCAGGGGAGACUGGAAUUCCUGGUGUAGCGGUGAAAUGCGCAGAUAUCAGGAGGAACACCGGUGGCGAAGGCGGGUCUCUGGGCCGAUACUGACACUGAGGAGCGAAAGCGUGGGGAGCGAACAGG